ACUUAAGUAGUUUAAAAAGAAUGUUAGGUUGUGGUCCUAAAGGAAUAUAAAGAUAUCUUAAGUC
rnacentral:tRNA from 1 species